UUUUUUUUAUUAUCUCCCAGUAUUUUUACAAUCUACCCGAAGGUAUUCAGUAAUCUAGUUUGGCAUACAAUACAACAUGUAGGGUAUUGGCCAUCCAAAUCCCCUAUUUUAAAUCAAUUAAUUAAUUAAUUGUUUAUGACUACUGGGUUUUCAAAGCGUAUUACUUAAAUCUAGUAGUUAGGUUUGUAGGAUUAAAUCUCUUCAGUCUAAUGUUGUUAAAUGGACUCCUCUAGAGUUUUUCCGCAAGUUGGUUAGGAUGGGCGCUAAGGCGUUGCCCAUCGCGGCGAAUAAGAUCGUUCGGCACAUACCACGGCGCGUC
rnacentral:lncRNA from 1 species